GAGUGAGAAGGGUAGUUGUUUUCUUAAUUCUCGUACAGUCGUCGCUUGUGAGAGCGAAGCAAAAGGGUAGACACUCUUACCACCUCAUCAUCAUCCCUAUCACAUCAUCCUCUCUCUCUCUCUCUCUCUGUGAAAGAGAAGAGAGGGAAGAAAAUCGAGCAAAUUAAUGGCGCCCAAGAAGAAUGAAGCCGUAGAAAUUAAGGCACUCAACAGGGGAGCAUGGACUGCUGAAGAAGACAGAAAGCUUGCUCAAGUCAUCGAAAUCCAUGGGGCCAAGAGGUGGAAGACCAUUGCAGCCAUGGCAGGGCUAAACAGGAGCGGAAAGAGCUGCAGGCUGAGAUGGCUGAAUUAUCUGAGACCCAACAUCAAGAGGGGAAACAUCACAGAUCAAGAAGAGGACUUAAUUCUCAGGCUUCACAAACUCCUCGGAAACAGGUGGUCUUUGAUUGCGGGGAGAUUACCAGGUCGAACAGAUAAUGAGAUCAAGAACUACUGGAACUCUCGUCUGAGCAGGAAGAUUAGCCAGAGGGAGAAGCGCGGCGGCGGGGAAGACCCUUCGGCGAGAGAGAGCUCCGGCUCCGAGCUAAUUAGGCCUCCUGACCAGGCCGCCGGCGGGGCGACCAUGGUCGACGGCGACGACGAUUUCUUCGAUUUCUCCAACGAAAGUCCCAUGACCUUGGAGUGGGUUAGCAAAUUCCUAGAACUGGACGAAGAUUCCUACGAAUUAUCAUGAAGUUCUCUGGGUUUCGACCCCACGGUCUGCCAGAAAAUAAUGCUCAAUUUCUUCUUCUUCUUCUUCUUCUUCUCCUUCCGGUGCAUGAACAUGGGCUCGACUUGCAAUUGGUCUGUAAAUCGCCUUCCUUAAUAUUCUCUCUCAUUGUCACUUCCCCAAAUUCUACCAUCCAUAAUACUCUCUCUCUCUCUCUCUCUAUAUAUAUCUCCAUCUUUACUAUCCUGUCAUUUUUUACUUUUUAAUUGCCAUGUCAUUCUCGUUGCUUUAUUUUCUUGUCUUUUGUUUGAUGAUGGCUUUUAGCAAGGUGGUAGCUAGCUUGAUUAGCAGUGGCUAGCAUGUGACGGCCUAGACAAUUCUUCCCUCCAUGCUUCCUCAGCCUUUCAAACAUAACUUCACAUGACGACCCUGUAGAAAUACCCUUUUGCAUAUAACAACUUCACUGGUGAAUAUAUCAGUGAAUUCUGGAGAAUUGAACCGUAAACACAAUUUUGUCAUCCAACCUUUAGUCUUUUCAAGCUAGGCGCUGUUGUUUGAUCCUAGAACAGGCAAGAGUGGAUGAUUGAGAUGUGAUGAUAACUUGUGAGAGAACUGGAGAUAAAAGGUGUCGUUCAGCUGACGAGGGACAAAGGAAAAUAGGCUUUUUACCGAGAAAGGUGAAACUGUGAAGACAAAAAGAGAGAUGAUUUGAGAGUGAAAGGGGUAAGAAUCUAUAUAUAAUCAAACGGGACGAAAUUAGAGAGAGGACAGCCAGGAUUUAAUUAGUUGGUGGGACGAAGCCACAGUUCAAAGGUCCAUUCCAUUUGCAAAGAGAGACUUUCCUGGAAAAAAAGUCUCCAAAACUUUCCAGCAGCAAGCAAUUAAGUUACCUUGGCAAGAAAACUGGGUGCAGUGAUCAACCCCACCUUAUUCAAGGAUAUGCUGAGCUGAAAAGGGUAACAGAAUAUGUUUAUUGAAAACCAUUCGAACCAGAGAGGUGGAUUUUGGGUCUUGCAAUCAAAAGAGGGUGAUAAAGGUUGUUUUCCUCCAUUUCUAAAUUAUAAAAGCUCUCUUCUUUUGAUUUGAUGCAUAAGUUAAAAAGUCCCCGCAACGACAAAUAAGACAGGAAUAAGAGAAGGGAACAACUCAUUAAGCUCUGUUCUUUUGAUUUGAUGUCGUUCGUUGGUACACGUUUGGUGCACUCGUGACUAGUUACUACGAGUAUAGUUUAUAACUCAUUUUGUUGCUUGUUCUGGGCACAAGGAUUGUCUAAAAUAGUGGUGGCGACAACUGUUUUUCACACCACGACAUCCUAAGCAACAUGGCAUUUGUAGAGGUAAAUGGGUGCUUUGAGGCCUACGAUGCUCCUAAUCUAUAUUUUUGUUCAUGUAGUUUUAUAAUUUUUUUUUUUUUUUGUGUGUGAUUAUUCGUAUUUUUAAUUUUACAUCAUUAUUUAUAUUUUCGAAUCAAUUUGAUUCAUAUAUUUUGAUUUUUCUUUUUUUGUGUGAUCACUCGAAUUUUUUGUUGUUUCGAUUAAUCUC